GCGCCGGAGGCAUCAAGGCCCAAGCGAGCGGAGAAGAAGGGAGGGGCGCAGUCCGACCUUGCGAUGAUCGACCACGCGAAUCAACCAAGCAGUCCCUGCAGGCCUGCAGGGAUCGGAGCUCUCGUCUGCAAUUACUCCAGACCUAAUCGGCGGCGCCAUGGAAGAGGAGGGCGACCAUUGCAAGCCCCGCCGGCCGCCGCUCCCGCUCCCCCGAGCCCCGCCGCGAGCGCACCCUCUCUCCCCAGCCCCGCCGCGAGCGCACCUGCUCCCCACAGCCCCGCCACGAGAGCGGCCCCAAGUCCGGCCGCGAGCUCUCUCCAGUGACCCGCCUCGUCGACGUCGACUUCGAGCCGAUCCUCGACAUCGAGAAGUUCCACCGGAAGAGUAGAGAGGAUAGAUACAAGAAUCCCAUCCAGUUUGUCUACGGCGGCUUGAUUUUGCCCAUGGACGACGACGAAAUCGAAAGGCAGUUUGAGAGCUCGAUGGCGGAGCGCCGCCGCCGUCAGGACGCGGACGGGAACGCCCUGCCGGGUGAUGUACCACUACCGCCCCCGUUUCGCCGGCUUACGGCAGCAUCAAGGAACGCGACGAGUGAACGGAUUAUUAUCUUCGUGCUUUCGUGCUUGUAUGCAUAAAAAAUGUACUUCCUCGGUCCGACUCUCGAGUUUGGAAAAAAAAAUUAGUUGUAUUUAGACAUGAAUUUAUGUAUAAAUACAUUCAAAUUUAGUCAAAAUUGAGACAUCUUUUAUUUGACGGAAGGAGUAUCAUUUAAAAUUGAAGGACUGCAUAGUUUGGUGCAAA